rnacentral:rRNA from 1 species
UACGUAGGGUGCAAGCGUUGUCCGGAUUUAUUGGGUUUAAAGGGUGCGUAGGCGGUUUUAUAAGUCAGUGGUGAAAGGCAACAGCUCCACUGUUGAGGUGCCAAUGAUACUGUAGUACUUGAGGACAGGAGAGGUAUGCGGAAUUCACAUAGAAGCCGUCAAAUGCAUAGAUAUUGUCAAGAACACCGAUAGCGAAGGCAGCAUGCUAGCCUGAAACUGACGCUAAGGCACUAAUGUGUGGUUAUCAAUCAAA